GAUGAACGCUAGCGGUAUGCUUAACACAUGCAAGUCGUACGGGAGUUUUUAACUCAAGUGGCGGACGGGUGAGUAACACGUGAGAAUUUACCUUUAGGAGGGGGAUAACAAUUGGAAACGAUUGCUAAUACCCCAUAUGCUUUUUUAAGUGAAACGGAUUUAUUCGCCUAAAGAAAAGCUCGCGGCUGAUUAGCUAGUUGGUAAGGUAAUGGCUUACCAAGGCGACGAUCAGUAUCUGGUUUGAGAGGAUGAUCAGACACACUGGAACUGAGACACGGUCCAGACUCCUACGGGAGGCAGCAGUGGGGAAUUUCCGCAAUGGGCGAAAGCCUGACGGAGCAAUGCCGCGUGAGUGAUGAAGGCCUUAGGGUUGUAAAGCUCUUUACCCGGGAUGAUAAUGACAGUACCGGAGAAUAAGCUCCGGCGUAACUCCGUGCCAGCAGCCGCGGU
rnacentral:rRNA from 1 species